UAUAUUUUUAGAUUUUUACCCUCUUAGCUUUAUGCGAACGGAGAGAGCAACUUUUGCCGUCACCAAAAAAGUAUUUGCAUAGUGCAAAACCAUUGUAAAGCCGUUACGCAUCUUGUUAUUCUAAUGUCUUUGCAGAUUUAUAUUCAUUUCUACAAACCAAAGAAUACAAAAAUACGAUUAUAUUUCUUAGCAGAUAUGGAUUUGUGCGUGAGCAAUGUGCAUUUGUAUAAUAAAUGAAAUGUAAUAGGGAGUCUUAUUUAGUGUUAUGAAGAAAUUUAGUAUUAUUGGCAUCUACUUGUGUCGCUAAUACCUUUGGAGUCCGCAUACCGAAUACCGGAAUACCGUUUUUAAUUUGGCAUUACAAAUAAAACGAACGUUAAUCGCAAAAAAAAUUAAAUUGUAUUUUAAACAUAAACAUAUAACCACUAUGAGGCAAUAUAAAAUUAUAUUUUAAUGUAUGCCUCUUCAAUUAAUACAAGAACAAACUUAUGAAAAUGGUAGUAAACUUUUUCUAAUUCCAUAGCACGGCGUCUUAAGUUUUUCAAUGACUAUGACUUGCAAGCAGCUACAGAGUUACAAAAAGAGCAAAAAUAUUAAAAUAGAUCCCUAGGCUGAGUUGCAAUGGACCGCAAUGGUUUCCUUAAUAGGAAAUUGUGAGGCUGCUUGAGGUUUUUUUCCGGUCACUGUCCAGAUAGCGUAGCUUGGGUCUUGACCCUAGAGUAAUGUAGUAUAGUAGAUUCUUUGCAAAGCAUGUAACUGCUUGCAGGAAGCGUUUCGGACCAUCCGUAGAAACGUCGAGAUCUCAGAAACUUCGAGGGUGGACCGAUAAGUACUUAGCCUACAAAAGAAAAACAAAGGUUUUUGAAAAGUGAUGUUUCGUUUUUCAACAUAGUCUCCUUUUAGCUCGAUACACUUCACCCAGCGAUGCUCCAGUUAAUUCAAUCGGUCUGAAAAAGACGUUUUCUCGAGAUCUGCUCUCCGCGCCGGCGAUAAUCUCCUCAUUCGAUUGAAAUUUCUGUACGGCGAGUGACUUUUUCAAGUUUGGAAACAAAAAGCAGACUCACGGGUCCAUAUCUGGAGAAUACUGUGGAUAAGGCAGCAUUUCGUAGGCCAAUUGGCGUUGCCGAGGGCAGACUUGUGAGCCGGUGCGUUAUCAAGAUGAACUUUUUUCUUUGCCAAGUGGGUAAUUGAUAAGGAUCACACCUUGUUAAACGGUGGAUAUCGCCUUUCCAGCCGAUUUGACAGUCUUUGCCUUCUUCGGAGCACUUUCGCCGGGUGAAGUCCACUGUUUCUUGGUCUCUGGUGUGUAUCAGUGGAUCCAUGUUCCGUCAGCUGUCACGAAAAAAAGAAAAAACUCUUUCGGAUUGCGUUUAAACAGCGUCAAACACUGCUCUGAUGUGGUCUCACCGUUGCGCUUGCUGACCGAAGUGAGCUUUCUCAUGCCCAAAAUGUCAUGCAGGAUAUAAACCACGAGAUCUUUUGAAAUGCCUACGGUCUCACCUAUCUCUCGCACCUUCAAUCUACUACCUACUCCUCCGUAGUAGGCGUUUACGGGGCACCUGGACGUGCCUAAUCAAAAAGCGACGUUAAAACUCGUUAAAAGAAUUUUUGAUGGUUGCCAUGUAAAAAGAAGAGUCACCGUAAACUGCAUCCAAACGCUCUUUGAUUUUAUUACGCGAUUUCCCUUCCAGAAACAAGAAUCACCGACCGAUAUUGCUUUUUCUUCAUUUUUUUAAAAUCCUCGGAUACUCGCGCUUUCACAAGCAGUUAAAUCCGAUCCGGCUGAAAUUUCGACAAAGAAUGUGCUCUAAUAAAUUCCUCUGUGGCAACACUUA